GGGGGUAUAGCUCAAGUGGUAGAGCACGUGCUUAGCAUGCAUGAGGUCCUGGGUUCAAUCCCCAGCACCUCCA
rnacentral:tRNA from 1 species